AAGCUGUGAUGAACUUUGCGCAUGAGUGGUGAUUUGGGUCGCCACGAUUUGUUUGAAUAAAACUGUGGACGACUAUCAGCGCAUCUGAGCUC
rnacentral:snoRNA from 1 species